ACAUGUUUGCUGUAACAUCUCCGUCGCUCUGCUGGACUUUACUGUCUGUCUUCCUCGUGGGCUUUACCUGUGCAGACCACAAAAUCAUCACAGCUGAGUCUGGACAAAAGAACGUCACUCUGACAUGUCGAGCUCCAAACAACAACAUAGUUGUAAAAUGGAGCAGAGCUGACCUGGAGCCAGAUUAUGUCCUUUUGUAUCGAGAUGAUCAGUUUGUUCCAGAUGACCAGCAUCCAUCUUUUAAGAAUCGAGUGGAUCUGCAGGACAGACAGAUGAAGGAUGGAGACGCGUCUCUGAUUCUGAAGGAUGUGACGAUUAAUGACACUGGAAAAUACAAGUGUUGUGUCUUCAUGAGAGAAACACGCUCGUGGAAAUCCGUCAGCAUCAUCAGCCUGAGAGUUGUUGAUCCUCCAGGUCAGACAGGAGGACACACAGAGGGUGGAGGGAAGGAGGAUGGAGUUGGUAGGAAUCAUCAUGGUGGACCGGUAGUUUUUGGUUUGCUACUUGCUGUGAUCAUUGUUGUGGUUGCUGUUGUGAUUUUUAAACAGUAGAAGAAGGCUCUUCCUCUUCAUGAUGAAGAAGCAAAGAAGGAGAUGAUCUGAAAGCACCAUGAGAGGAGAGAGAGCGAGCACAUUAAAAACAUUAUAAAAAAGAUAGAUAGAUAGAUAGAUAGAUAGAUAGAUAGAUAGAUAGAUAGAUAGAUAGAUAGAUAGAUAGA